CUGAGUAGAACAAUUUGGGAAAGUUGGCCGUAGAGGGUGAAAGCCCCGUAUACGAAGGUUUGAUGAGGAACUAGGCACGCGAACAAGUAGGCCGGGACACGUGAAAUCCUGGUUGAAGAUGGGUGGACCAUCAUCCAAGGCUAAAUACUACUUACUGACCGAUAGUGAACCAGUACCGUGAGGGAAAGGUGAAAAGAACCCCGGAGAGGGGAGUGAAAUAGAAUCUGAAACCGUUUGCGUACAAGCAGUGGGAGCAUAGUUUAGGCUGUGUGACUGCGUACCUUUUGUAUAAUGGGUCAGCGAGUUACUUUCAGUGGCGAGGUUAACUGAAUAAGGGAGCCGUAGAGAAAUCGAGUCUGAAUAGGGCGAUAGUCGCUGGGAGUAGACCCGAAACCGGGCGAUCUAGCCAUGUGCAGGAUGAAGGUUGGGUAACACCAACUGGAGGUCCGAACCGGGUAAUGUUGAAAAAUUAUCGGAUGACGUGUGGCUAGGAGUGAAAGGCUAAUCAAGCCCGGAGAUAGCUGGUUCUCCCCGAAAGCUAUUUAGGUAGCGCCUCGUGAAUGAUUACUGGGGGUAGAGCACUGUUUCGGCUAGGGGGCUGUCAUGGCUUACCAAACCGAUGCAAACUCCGAAUACCGGCUAAUUGGAUCACGGGAGACACACGGCGGGUGCUAACGUCCGUCGUGGAGAGGGAAACAACCCAGACCGCCAGCUAAGGUCCCCAAGUACUAGUUAAGUGGGAAACGAUGUGGGAAGGCAUAGACAGCCAGGAGGUUGGCUUAGAAGCAGCCACCCUUUAAAGAAAGCGUAAUAGCUCACUGGUCGAGUCGGCCUGCGCGGAAGAUGUAACGGGGCUAAAACUAGUCACCGAAGCUGCGGAUGUGCGCGAAGGCGCACGUGGUAGGGGAGCGUUCUGUAGGCUGAUGAAGGUGCAUUGAGAAGUGUGCUGGAGGUAUCAGAAGUGCGAAUGCUGACAUGAGUAACGAUAAUGUGGGUGAAAAGCCCACACGCCGGAAGUCCCAGGUUUCCUGCACGACGUUAAUCGGAGCAGGGUGAGUCGGCCCCUAAGGCGAGGCUGAAGAGCGUAGUCGAUGGGAACCAGGUUAAUAUUCCUGGACUUUUUAUAAGUGGUGAAGUGGGGACGAAGAAGGCUAGGUGAGCCAGGCGUUGGUUGUCCUGGUACUUGCAUGUAGGGGGGAAGACUUGGCAAAUCCGGUUUUCCAUAACUCUGAGGUGCGAAGUGGUUCUGACCUUUUGGUACAGAGAAGUCAUUGAUGCCCGGCUUCCAGGAAAAGCUGCUAGCCAUAACUUAUAGAGAACCGUACCGCAAACCGACACAGGUGGACAGGUAGAGAAUACUAAGGCGCUUGAGAGAACUCGGGUGAAGGAACUAGGCAAAAUGGUACCGUAACUUCGGGAG
rnacentral:rRNA from 1 species